rnacentral:lncRNA from 10 species
AGAAAGCGCCACAGUUCUACGGCGCCUGCGCAGACUACUUCCCAGGCCCCGGGCAGCGUCGGAAGAGGGCGUGAGCAUAAUUGGCUCCUGUAGGCGGAGCCUGGCUGGGAGAGACAGGGUUUCGCCGUGUUGUCCAGGCCGGUCUUGAACUCCUGACCUCAAAUGAUCCGCCCGCCUCAGCCUCCCAAAGUGCUGGGAUUACAGGCAUGAGCCACCGUGCCCGGCCCUAUUGGAUUGUUCCUAAGAAACUUGGCAUGGCUUUGGCAACUGACAAUCCUGACAAAGGAUUAUCACUUCCGCCCUUCGCCUUUGGAGUAUCUUCAUCUAAGCCUUCACUGCCCUUAAAGGAAAAUUCAGCUGAAUUUGGAAUGAAUGAGGUUGUACAGCUAAUCAUGUUUAGAGUCACCUUCCUAUGACAUUAAGGCCUCCAGGAGAGUCAUUGAAAAGUCUGUGAGGUCUGCUAAUUCUAUUGAGAGUGAGGAAUGUGUUUAUUCUUCCAAGGGGCAAAGAUCCCCCACUCAAAAUGACGCUGCCACAUUGUGUAACCAGGAACGUGGGUUGUUGCUGAUGUAAAC